CUCUCACCAGUGAUAAAGUCCAAAAAAAAAAAAAGUCGUCAAGUUAAUCUCCCAGUAACCUGCAUUGUUAUAGUACUGAGUUUAUUAUUUUCUCAAGAAAACCUCCAUAGAUCUGCGUUCCAGAUUCGAUUUCUCCAAUCUAGUCGCCCUUGAAUUUCGUGCAAAUCAAAAUCCUCGGAAAAGGAAAAAAGAGUUUAAAGUACUAUGAUUAAAUUGCCCUUUUCAUCAAUCUUGUCCACGUGAAAUUUGCUCAGAAAUCCCUCAGCAUCACUACGUGCCUUUCUCAAACCGAUUUCUCCUCCGUUGAUUUCUUCGACUUCAUGGGUUCCAUGUCUGAUCCCAUGGCCACCGCUUCUGCUUUCUCUCUCUCCAACAUUUUCCCCGUCAUCGUCGAGCUUUAAAUUAUUUUCCCGUUUUAAGCUUGGUAAACGGGAAUUGAUUUUCUUGAAUUCCAUUUAUUUUUUGAGGAAAAAACGAAGAAAAAAUGAGGGUGGCUAAGUCUCAGGUAUGGCAACCAUGCAAGAAGAAGAGGUCUUUGAUUAACAGCAAGCUUUAGAAGAAACAGAAAGAAAUAGAGGACAUUUUUGGGAAAAAAAGGGAAAAUAAAUUUAAGAGAAAUAAAAAGGAUUCGCAGAGAAAGUGAUGGCAGCUCGCACGAGUGCAGGGAGCAGGACACGUGUGGGGAAGUACGAGCUAGGGAGGACGUUGGGGGAAGGAACAUUCGCAAAGGUGAAGUUUGCGAGGAAUAUAGAGACCGAGCAGAAUGUAGCAAUCAAGAUUCUUGACAAAGAGAAAGUUUUGAAGCAUAAGAUGAUUGGUCAGAUUAAACGUGAAAUUUCAACAAUGAAACUAAUUAGACACCCAAAUGUCAUCCAUAUGUAUGAGGUGAUGGCUAGCAAGACGAAAAUAUACAUUGUUUUGGAAUUUGUGACUGGUGGUGAACUUUUUGACAAAAUUGCUAGCAGAGGGCGGUUAAAGGAAGAUGAAGCUAGAAAGUAUUUUCAGCAGCUUAUUAAUGCUGUAGAUUACUGCCAUAGCAGAGGUGUUUACCAUCGAGACCUGAAGCCAGAGAAUUUGCUGCUGGAUGCUAAUGGAGUUCUUAAAAUUUCAGAUUUUGGUUUGAGUGCUUUACCUCAGCAAGUUCGAGAGGAUGGGUUACUUCACACAACUUGUGGAACACCAAAUUAUGUUGCACCAGAGGUGAUCAACAAUAAAGGCUAUGAUGGAGCUAGGGCAGAUCUUUGGUCAUGUGGUGUGAUACUCUUUGUCUUAAUGGCUGGUUACUUGCCUUUUGAGGACUCCAAUUUGACGGCUUUAUAUAAAAAGAUAUUUAAAGCCGACUUCAAUUGUCCUCCAUGGUUCUCCUCAAGUGCAAAGAAAUUAAUCAAGAGAAUCCUAGACCCUAAUCCAUUGACAAGGAUAACAAUUCCUGAGAUUAUUGAGAAUGAGUGGUUUAAGAAAGGAUAUAUUCCACCUAGGUUUGAGCAAGCUGAUGUUAGUCUUGAUGAUGUGGAUGUCAUUUUCAAUGAAUCAGGGGAUACUCAAAACCUUGUUGUUGAACGGCGAGAAGAAGGGCCUAGAGUACCUGCUACUAUGAAUGCAUUUGAACUUAUCUCUACAUCUCAGGGUCUCAACCUCAGUAGUCUGUUUGAGAAGCAAAUGGGACUUGUUAAACGGGAAACAAGAUUCACUUCCAAAUGUCCUGCUAAUGAGAUAAUCUCAAAAAUAGAGGAAGCUGCAAUGCCCUUGGGUUUUGAUGUGAAGAAAAAUAACUACAAGAUGAAGCUUCUAGGAGAAAAAACUGGACGUAAGGGUCAUUUGGCUGUUACAACGGAGCCCUGCCUCUUUCCCAUUUCAGAUUUUUCAGGUGGCUCCUUCACUUUGCAUGGUUGAACUUCGAAAGUCUGGCGGAGAUACCCUGGAAUUUCACAAGUUCUACAAUAAUCUCUCUACUGGGCUAAAAGAUAUUGUUUGGAAAACAGCAGAGGAAGGAAAAGUGGAAGAAAAGGAUGGAGCUGCUGCUGGUUCUGCUCCAUCGCGAUGACUGGCUUUUUCCACAAUGCGCAUUGGUCAGUUCUCUUGGGCGAACCUCAGAUACUGGUUACUCAAAGGAAUGUUCAUCUUGUUUCCAAUGGUUGUAACUUUACUGUGUAAAAUACUCUAUUCAUGUGCCAGCUUUAUGUCUGUCUCUGCUGGAUGCUAUGAUCCAGAAAGAACUUAUUUACCUUAUUGCUCUGCUGUUUUGAGAACUUAUUGUACCAAUCACUUGAAUUUAUGAAUAAAUAAAAUGGGAAAAAGAGAAAAGAAAAAUAGUGUUUGGGAUUGAAA